rnacentral:rRNA from 1 species
GCUUGCUACCUGACCUAGCGGCGGACGGGUGAGUAAUGCUUAGGAAUCUGCCUAUUAGUGGGGGACAACAUUCCGAAAGGAAUGCUAAUACCGCAUACGCCCUACGGGGGAAAGCAGGGGAUCUUCGGACCUUGCGCUAAUAGAUGAGCCUAAGUCAGAUUAGCUAGUUGGUGGGGUAAAGGCCUACCAAGGCGACGAUCUGUAGCGGGUCUGAGAGGAUGAUCCGCCACACUGGGACUGAGACACGGCCCAGACUCCUACGGGAGGUAGCAGUGGGGAAUAUUGGACAAUGGGCGAAAGCCUGAUCCAGCCAUGCCGCGUGUGUGAAGAAGGCCUUUUGGUUGUAAAGCACUUUAAGCGAGGAGGAGGCUACUUGGAUUAAUACUCUAGGAUAGUGGACGUUACUCGCAGAAUAAGCACCGGCUAACUCUGUGCCAGCAGCCGCGGUAAUACAGAGGGUGCGAGCGUUAAUCGGAUUUACUGGGCGUAAAGCGUGCGUAGGCGGCUUUUUAAGUCGGAUGUGAAAUCCCUGAGCUUAACUUAGGAAUUGCAUUCGAUACUGGGAAGCUAGAGUAUGGGAGAGGAUGGUAGAAUUCCAGGUGUAGCGGUGAAAUGCGUAGAGAUCUGGAGGAAUACCGAUGGCGAAGGCAGCCAUCUGGCCUAAUACUGACGCUGAGGUACGAAAGCAUGGGGAGCAAACAGGAUUAGAUACCCUGGUAGUCCAUGCCGUAAACGAUGUCUACUAGCCGUUGGGGCCUUUGAGGCUUUAGUGGCGCAGCUAACGCGAUAAGUAGACCGCCUGGGGAGUACGGUCGCAAGACUAAAACUCAAAUGAAUUGACGGGGGCCCGCACAAGCGGUGGAGCAUGUGGUUUAAUUCGAUGCAACGCGAAGAACCUUACCUGGUCUUGACAUAGUAAGAACUUUCCAGAGAUGGAUUGGUGCCUUCGGGAACUUACAUACAGGUGCUGCAUGGCUGUCGUCAGCUCGUGUCGUGAGAUGUUGGGUUAAGUCCCGCAACGAGCGCAACCCUUUUCCUUAUUUGCCAGCGGGUUAAGCCGGGAACUUUAAGGAUACUGCCAGUGACAAACUGGAGGAAGGCGGGGACGACGUCAAGUCAUCAUGGCCCUUACGACCAGGGCUACACACGUGCUACAAUGGUCGGUACAAAGGGUUGCUACCUAGCGAUAGGAUGCUAAUCUCAAAAAGCCGAUCGUAGUCCGGAUUGGAGUCUGCAACUC